rnacentral:rRNA from 1 species
GAUGAACGCUGGCGGCGUGCCUAAUACAUGCAAGUCGAGCGACUGGAUUAAGAGCUUGCUCUUAUGAAGUUAGCGGCGGACGGGUGAGUAACACGUGGGUAACCUGCCCAUAAGACUGGGAUAACUUCCGGAAACCGGGCCUAAUACCGGAUAACAUUUUGAACCGCAUGGUUCGAAAUUGAAAGGAGGCUUCGGCUGUCACUCAUGGAUGCACCCGCGUCGCAUUAGCUAGUUGGUGAGGUAACGGCUCACCAAGGCAACGAUGCGUAGCCGAACUGAGAGGGUGAUCGGCCACACUGGGACUGAGACACGGCCCAGACUCCUACGGGAGGAAGCAGUAGGGAAUCUUCCGCAAUGGACGAAAGUCUGACGGAGCAACGCCGCGUGAGUGAUGAAGGCUUUCGGGUCGUAAAACUCUGUUGUUAGGGAAGAACAAGUGCUAGUUGAAUAAGCUGGCACCUUGACGGUACCUAACCAGAAAGCCACGGCUAACUACGUGCCAGCCGCCGCCGUAA